AAAGCGCAUCGCCUUCAUCUGUGCUUGCGCGUGGCCCAUCGGCAACGCACUCGUUUUUCUCCGUUCGGAUCUGCGGCCAAGGACGCGCUGCGCGUGCCACUGCCGCUCUUUCGCCUCUUUCUCGCCCACUGCGCAACGCAGCCCGCCCAACUCGCGUCCACGCACGCAAGGAGCGGGUGGGGAGGGGGGAACUCAUGGCGUCCUCAGCUCCAUCCAAUUGCCUGAGCGGCGCGGCCGCCACCGCCACCACCCCCACCGCUGCCUCUCACGCAACGGCCAACUCCGUCGGCUUCAUGCCCAAGAUGGCGAGCCCACUGGCGCACGGCACUGCGAGCAACUACGUCCUCAGCGACGCGGCCGCCAGCCCCGCCGCCUCCCCUUCCCACAGCGCAGGCGCCAUUCCGCAAGAGCAGUCGAAGAUGCUAGCCGGGAUGCUGGCGAAGCUGCCGGAACUUGACCUAGGCGAGAUGUCGCGCGUGAAGAGCUGUUUCUCUGCCGUGCUGGGCGAGGGACGCGAGAACAUCGUCAACGCGCUGGAACUGCGCGUGGUGCUCGGCGAGCUCGGCCUCUAUCCGAGCGAGACGGAGCUCAACCUCAUCCUCCGCGCCUACCGUGACCGCGUCAACCUCGUUACGCUGACGCAGUACCUGCGGCUUUAUAAGAAGGAGUUCUGGGUCAAUCACGCGGCGGCGGCGGCGGCGGCAGCAGCAGCACCAGCAGCAGCGGUGGGCGGAGCCGGCGCUGCACACAGCGCGUCACUGUCUGUCGCUCCGCACUCCUAUAAAGCGUUCAGUGGAAGUCAUCCUAUGGCCGCGGCGAGAGCGGGGGCCUUCGGCGUUGGCGGUGGCAAGGACGAGGACACGUUGAAGGCCUUUGUCGCCCUUGGCGGUGAGGAAGACGGCAGUGGCGAGAUCCUCGCGUCGACGCUGCGCGACGCCAUUCGCGGCUUCGGGCUCACCAUUGACAUCGACUCGAUGAUUCGCACCGUCGACGUGCACCACUCCGGCGUGCUGGACUACGUUGACUUCUGCGCCUUAUGGUCGCAGCCGACGAGCACGUCCUCCGAGUCCGGCGAGGCCGGCGGCGCGGGAGUGUCCAUGGGGGAAGCACUGCUACGCGGAUCGGUCGACAACGCUGGGUCCGACGCCUACCGCCGUCGCUCGUCGGACGGAAGCGCAAUGAGCGACACCCAUCAGCGCCUCAUGUCCUUGCUGGCAGCCACGCCGCGACUCACCAGUCUUGCAGGUGGCGUGCUGCGCCGUCGAUCACAGACGAUGGCGCAGGCACCGGAGCAGGCCAGCACGUCGCCCCGCGCACGCCGUUGCUCGCCGGGUGGCACGCAAUUUUCUCAGAACACGAACAGCCGUGCCACGACAGCGGCAUGCGGCCCGCGGGCGGGCGGCACCGGUAAUGGCCGCGGCUCUGAUGGCGCGACGGCGUGUAACUCGAUUCUCACGCCGCCGCCGACGCCUAUCACAGACGAGGAGCACAUGCUACUCGUGGAGAUGUACCUGUUCCCGGAAAAAUACAAGACAGUGCGGCGGGCACCGCGCUUCGCUGCCGCCUCCGGCGGCAGCCCACCAGCUCACGGCGCGGCGGGCCGUGAGGCAGCGCAGCACUCCGGCUCGUUGUAUCAGAAGCGUCUCUCGCGCCCGAGCGUGAGUGGCUCGCGCAGUCGCAGCCGCCGCCAGGCACGCGGCUUGGGCAACACCAGCGGCGGCGCCUCCGCCAUCCGCGCCACCAGCAACACCGCGGGCAGGAGGUGCAAGAGCAGUGCAGCUGGCGGCGCGGAUGGCGGAGGCGCCGCCGCUGACUUCUUUCCGCCGAAGUCCAGCAACGUCUACCGCCCGCCGAGCCCGAUGAUCCUGUCGAUGCGCAACAGUACCGCCUAUCGCAACCGGCUGAAGCGGCUCGAGGAGCAGAAGCGGGAGCGCAAGGGGUGGAAACCGCCAGCGGGGACAGCGGCAGCGCAGCAGCUGCAGCAUCGGAUCUCGUACGCUGCCACCGCGACGCGCGGCGGUGGCGAUGGUCCGGGCGACAUGGAGCACAUGUCCUCUACGCCUCCGCCAAAGAUGUCGACGUGGUAGCGAACGGGUUCGUGGAUGAGGAAGACGGAGGAGGCGGUGGCUCUCACACAGACAGCUACGCACGGAGGCACCCGUCGGCUUACUCCAAUGGCGCGUCUUCAACGCUGCUGAGGCGCACACACGCGCUCGUUCCUGUGUUCCUCAGCGCGUUCGGUUGCUGGGUUGGAAAGAUGAAGCAUGCUCUUCUUAACUCCUUGAUGUACAACUAUAGGGACAAUAAGCGACGGCAACGGCCUCACGCCACGCCUGCCCUCCUCUGUUCCUACCGGAGCGCGUGGGUGCCGGUGGACGUGUUCAAGUCAGAGGAACGGGACAGAAAGAUCUGUGGUGCGCAACGGCAGAGGUACACCGUACACACACACACACACAGAGAGAGAGAGAGGCGGGGGGCGGGAGGGGGUGCGUGUGUGUGGGUGUGUACGGUGUGUGUGUGUGUGCGCAGCAAAAUGAUGGAGGAUGGUCAUCGGGUCGCCAUCCCCCCCCCAUCCACUCACCAAGCACCCUGCGCAUGCCGCUGGUCCCCUUGCCUGGGUGCACGUCUUUUUGUAUAUAUGUGGCUGGGCUCACCUCUUGCGCAGCUGCCAUGGCUGUGGUGGUGGUGGGAUGUGGAGGAGAGGGCCUUGGGAUCGUUCCGAUGAGGACUUGGAGUCCAAAACAACGUAAGGGCGAGCAUGCCGAUGUACACGUAGAAGUUGCUCCCUUCUUUCUUUUCGAUUAUGACCUCCUCGCAGCAGAUGUGCAUCAGCAACAGC
rnacentral:misc_RNA from 1 species